rnacentral:tRNA from 1 species
CCCCACUUAGCUGAGUUGGCUUUAGCGCUAGAUUGAAGAUCUGGAGACGGUGGUUCAAAUCCACCAGUGGGGGCCA